CAGCUCCUCUGCCUUAUCCUUUCUUCUCUCAUCCUGUCGCAUGCAUCCUCAACCCCCACAGCAAUUCCUCCCCUGCAUACUCUCUCUCCCAUGGCCUACCUCCAAAUAAACAGCUCGCCGGCCGCAGAAUAGGUGCGUGGCGAGCAGGCGAUCCCAGAGGAGCACACACGAAGAUGUAGAGGUGCGCGUCGUACAACGAUCAGCGAGCAGAGGUGCAGUGCUCGUCGUCUUGUCUGCCGGAACUAGAUGUGCGCCCUCUUCAUGGCCAUCGCAACCAGGGUUCGUUAGUCGCAUGGCCAAGCUGCAAUUGGCCACAGGGGCGACGAAUUUGUGCUGGAACCAGGUCGACACCACGCCGGAGGAAGCUGCAUCCAGUGGCAAGGAGGGUUGCGGCCAACGCCGUUCGAACGCUGGAAGUUGCAACCGUGUACGCUGGAGCUACAACGGGCGACUGGGGGAGCCGCAAGCGGGGUGGCUGUAUUUUGCUGAACAAUUUUCUUUUUGCUGGAACCGAUGUAUUGUUUUGCUGGAACCGAGAUAAAUUUUUGUUUCAUUGGCUGCAGAGUUCUCAAAUGCUCAUGUCAUUUUUGCUGGAACCUAAGUUUGGUUUUGCUGGAAGCGUUUUUUGAUUUUGCUUCAACCGACCACCAGAUUUCUUUAGGUACGAUGCACAUCGACAAUGGAGGCCCGUAGAGACGGCGACGCCGUGCUACGAUGGGAGGCAUGAGUUUUUGCUGUCCGAGCUGCAUCCGGCCAUCGACGGGAGCUGCAUGCAGCAGGAGGGUGUUGCUGGAUCGACGACGAGAUGUGGAGGGUGUGCGACAACAGCAACGGCGAGCUGCGGAGAGAGGUGGCGACCUGCAACCCAUGGCGAUGGCGGCUGCCGCGGGGUGCGCAAGCUUUGUGCGGCAAGGCCGCGGGGUGGGGGCGGUUGGCUGAGUGUGGUGACUCGUUGUGGGAGGAGGCAUGAUGUGUGGAAGGAUAGAGAGGAAAUCAUGCGGCUACUUUUGCCUGAAUCCAACGGCUGCUUGGCGACCGGCCGAAAGUUGGGCCGGUGCGCCGGCGCCUAGCAGUGGCCUUAAACUUAUCAUAAAAAAUGUUUGGGGUUGCUAUGUGUUUGUGCCACACGUGUGGCACUUAUCAGGUCUGUUUUAAAUUAUAAUUGUAUGUCAAUAUUGCGCCACCAAACAGAGUUUUGUCCUUU